AAAAGAGAAUUAGCUUUUAUAUAGUUGCGAACCUUACCUUUUCAUCUUCUUGAGAACACCCGAAAUUAAUUCUGCAAUUAAUUCUUUGUGGUAGCCCAAGAGUCAAGAUAAACUUUACAACCGCAAAAAUCUACACGAACAUUUAAGAUAGGAAAAGAAGUCUAAACGUAUUUAAAAUUCUAAAAUCUCUAAAUUCAGUUAAUCUUAAAAAAACCAUAAGAGGUACUUAAAACUGUAUUUGUUAUAGUCAAAAAGGUAUUAAAUGACCACCUAGAUUAUCCCAAUCAGCGCAUGUCAUAAAAACGCAUUUAUUACUGGGGGACAAAGGUUCAUUCAGUAUUAACAAUGUAGAAACAUUGACUACGUAUAAAUUACCGACGCCAAGACGUAACGUCGCCAAAGCAGCACCAAGACUUUCUGCGUUUCCUGACCAGAACAAUGAUACAAGGCACGGCUGAUCAGACUCACCGUCAGUACUAGGCAACCCAUAUGAGCUUAGCCGAAACUGACAGUGUAGCCUGAUCAUCGGUACCAAUAUCACCAACUCAUCUUCAACCUUUGCUCAUCGAGUUGUUCUAUCCUCCUUAUAUAGAACGCAAUAUUCUCACGGAUUGAAUUCUCUAUCAAGUCCACCAAUGGUGUUCUGAGACACGUGUUGAUUUUUGUAAAUUUUUGCCUGCCACUUGGCAUACCUAUUCAGUUCUUGGAGUUUGUUCAGUCAAGAUUUUGUUACUCUGUUCGGAGAUUCACCCUGCCAUAUUCUCUCCAGAUGGAAAUAAUUGAGGCCACGCGUCCCACCUGGUUAGUUCUAGUUUCUUUACACGUCAUUAUUCGCAGUUUCAAUUGAACUUUUAGAGUUACGUUCUAACAGUCCAACUUAAACUGGGGGACAGAGUAAGGCUAUCGACUCUAAAUUGCUACCAAGAGUAAGGUUAUUUAUUGUAGAUUGCUAUGAUAGGGCAUUUAAACUAAAAGGAAAUUGGAAAUACUAAAAAAAAAAAAAAAA